UUUAUAUAGUAUAAUUAUUAUAUUUAACUUCCAAUUAAAAGAUCUAUUUAUAGUAUAAAUAA
rnacentral:tRNA from 1 species